rnacentral:lncRNA from 1 species
CGUGCCCCCUGGCGGUUGCGGGCGGUAUGAUCAAUGUUUGGUCACUGUCGUAAAGACGCCGCGGGAGCAAGACGCGGGUACUUUUCCUCAGAGCUCCUGGGGAAGUUGUCAACACCGCUUUGGAGAUAAUAACAGAGGGGAAACAAGUAUGUGCACUGAAGCUCCCGCUUCGUUUCAAUGGCUGCUAGCAUCAACCAGUGGCAGCGUUAGCAUCACCCCAGCAGAUCAUGAUGGUCAACAGCACCCUGGAGACCUUCGUCAGUGGAGAUGGCGGGGACACAGACCUGACCUCCGGCGCCUCUCCAGGUCUGGUUGUGGGGCUGACACUCUCCUUUCUGCUCGUUGCGACGGUAGCUGGUGUCUUUGUGUUCAAAUACCGCAGUAAAAUCAGGAACACGGUGCAGUCUGGACCAAGAAGAAGCCAGAGACACAGCUCUUCAGAGGCCACCCAAGCCGACACUCAGCCCUAUACCGAUCUGAUCAGAGAGCCAAAAACAGCACACAGCCCUAUCUACGAAAACCUGACGACUCGAACGGCAGGUUCCGGCAGGCUGGCAGAAAACCAGAGCACGUCGCCUGAAGAGAAUUUUUACUUGCAGUGUGAUUCACCGGAUCAUGCAAUAUACAGCAACGACCCGAAGUGUAACCCAGCCCUCCUCCACGACUCCCCAGAAGAGGAUGUGUACAUUAUGCCUGAUUCAUGAUAAGGAAAGUUUUAAUGCUGGAAUAUAUUUGAUUCCCUUCAAUGUUUACUAGGAGCCACGCUCUUUCCUUUAUGCUACAAAUAUUAUAUAAUAUUGUUACUAGUUUAAAAAAUGUGUGCUGCUGCUUUUGAAUAAAGCAGACCUACAAAAUCUGUAUGUUGUGUAUAUAUACAUUAUUUUUUAUCGUUGUGCAUCAUCUGUAAAGUUAGGAAUGGAAUAAUGUGCACAAGUUGUUGCAUGCUACAUGUUCUGUUCACGACAGGGGAAAUAAUAAUUUGAGUGUUUUUUAUUCAAAGACGCUGCCAUUACAUUUGACUACUACUACUUGACACAGUUCAAAUUGGAAGCACACACCGUGCGAGUUAACACACUUUAACAAUGGUCCAAGGUAAUCAAUUUGCAGAUUAGAACUUUGUUUUAGAGCUUUCUCGUGAUACGUCUGAAAUUUACCGAUGACCCACUUUCAUCUCGACCUUUAGAGAAGAGAAGUGUGGGCAGUUUAUUUACCCUUGUGUAAUAAAAUCUUUUUUAUAUUCUGUUGUCAUUUUUGUAUCAGCAGGUCUGCAUUUGACCCUCUAUUAGAUUUAGAUUAGAUUAGACUAGAUUUAGAUUAGGUUCCAACAGUGUAGACAAUAGAAAUAGCUAGCAAUGUUAUUUCUCUGAAGAAACUAAUAGAUCUACAAAUAUAUAUAUGUAUAUAUUUUUUAUUAACAUUGAAAUAUCAAUAACUGAAACAUGCUGCAUAUUUAUGCACACUCCAUGUGUGCACUUACAUACAUGCAUAGGAGGAUAUAGCAUUCAUUAUGCUCUAAAGCUACCAUUUAUAGAUCCUGUGUGAUCAAUGAACCUUUGCCAUUUGGACAUUUUUAAUAUUUAACACAGUUCACAAUGAUAUCAUUGGGUUAAUUCUAAUUUCUGUGUCAAACAUGAUUUACUUGCUUAGUAUCUAUCAAAUGCUAGAAAUGCAGACAAGAUGAAAACUGCAAAAAAUUAUAUUUUUAUGAAAUAUCAGCAAAAAAAAUCCAUGAAGUAGAAAACAUGGCUUUUACACAAAUAUCAUGUCUUGCAAAUAAAAUAAAAAAGGAAAUGCAGAG